GAUGAACGCUAGCGACAGGCCUAACACAUGCAAGUCGAGGGGCAGCACAUGAGUAGCAAUACGAUGGUGGCGACCGGCGCACGGGUGAGUAACACGUAUGCAACCUGCCUUCUACUAUGGGAUAACCCGUUGAAAGACGGACUAAUACCGUAUAAUACAGGGGCUCCGCAUGGAGAUAUUUGUUAAAGAUUUAUUGGUAGAAGAUGGGCAUGCGUAUGAUUAGAUAGUUGGUGAGGUAACGGCUCACCAAGUCAACGAUCAUUAGGGGUUCUGAGAGGAAGGUCCCCCACACUGGUACUGAGACACGGACCAGACUCCUACGGGAGGCAGCAGUGAGGAAUAUUGGUCAAUGGACGAGAGUCUGAACCAGCCAAGUCGCGUGAAGGAAGACGGUUCCAUGAAUUGUAAACUUCUUUUGUGCAGGAAUAAAGUGGGUUACGUGUAACCUUUUGUAUGUACUGUACGAAUAAGGAUCGGCUAACUCCGUGCCAGCCGCCGCAGUAAAAC
rnacentral:rRNA from 1 species